rnacentral:rRNA from 1 species
UGGGGAAUAUUGGACAAUGGGCGCAAGCCUGAUCCAGCCAUGCCGCGUGAGUGAUGAAGGCCCUAGGGUUGUAAAGCUCUUUCACCGGUGAAGAUAAUGACGGUAACCGGAGAAGAAGCCCCGGCUAACUUCGUGCCAGCAGCCGCGGUAAUACGAAGGGGGCUAGCGUUGUUCGGAUUUACUGGGCGUAAAGCGCACGUAGGCGGACUAUUAAGUCAGGGGUGAAAUCCCGGGGCUCAACCCCGGAACUGGCUUUGAUACUGGUAGUCUUGAGUUGGAGAGAGGUGGGUGGAAUUCCGAGUGUAGAGGUGAAAUUCGUAGAUAUUCUGAGGAAAACCAGAGGCGAAGGCGGCUCACUGGCUCGAUACUGACGCUGAGGUGCGAAAGCGUGGGGAGCAAACGGG